rnacentral:rRNA from 1 species
GUGGGGAAUAUUGGGCAAUGGGCGAAAGCCUGACCCAGCAACGCCGCGUGAAGGAAGAAGGUUUUCGGAUCGUAAACUUCUAUCCUUGGUGAAGAUAAUGACGGUAGCCAAGAAGGAAGCCCCGGCUAACUACGUGCCAGCAGCCGCGGUAAUACGUAGGGGGCAAGCGUUGUCCGGAAUGAUUGGGCGUAAAGGGCGCGUAGGCGGCCCGGUAAGUCUGAAGUGAAAGUCCUGCUUUUAAGGUGGGAAUUGCUUUGGAUACUGUCGGGCUUGAGUGCAGGAGAGGUAAGCGGAAUUCCCGGUGUAGCGGUGAAAUGCGUAGAGAUCGGGAGGAACACCAGUGGCGAGGGCGGCUUACUGGACUGUAACUGACGCUGAGGCGCGAAAGUGUGGGGAGCAAACAGGAUUAGAAACCCGUGUAGUCC